rnacentral:lncRNA from 1 species
GAUGGAUUGCUGUCUUCAGACACUAAUGUUCUCCUUGUCCUUGCUCUGGAAUACUAACAUUUUUGUUGCCUAACCCUAAAACUACCUUCUGUUAUAGAAUGAAGAUUAUUCCUCAAGCAUUUUUUCCUUGGAAUUUCAUGAGAACACUCAUGCCUUCACAGGCUGCAAAACAGACUAUUCUUCCUUCCAGAUGAAAGAUGCCCAGAUCUUCAGGGAACAGAAGAAAACUUACUAUUAGAAGCUAGAAAAGAUUAUACUGAAAUUAUUUUUCUUCACCAUUAAGAAGAAGAGGGAUUCACUCUAAGGAGGUGGGGCUCCUUGCUUGGAGUAGUAAUGAGGAGCAGAUGAGCAGGAGGAAUAGAAAACCAAGUGAAGACUGAAGCUAUUUUACUGUUGAAGUAAAUUGGCUUGUUUUGGAACUGCCAAAUAAGAGCUAAUGAAAUCAGAUUGCUUCAUACACUACUUGCAGUGGAUGAUGGGAAAAGUGAGACUAGCAGACAUCGUGCUGCCUGACAACACAGGUAAGCCCCUGAGAAACCAAAGCUGGCAAACAAGCAAACAGCCCAUGUACAGCAUAAACACAAAUUCUUCAGGAAAAUAGAGGUUUCUUAAAUACAGGAUCUUUAACAUCCUGUACUCACAGACAUAGCUUUGUUCAUUGUGGAUUGCAGAGAAUUUUGAGGAAAGACUCUGGCAUAGCCCAUUAUUGGCUUUGGAAGAAGCAAACUUCUACUAGAGACAUCAUAAAACCAGACAGCAAAAGCUCAGAUGAUUUAUAAUUUCACAGCA